CGCGACUUUCAUGUGCGGUCAUUGAACGCCAGUAUCACGUCCCUGUCGGGCGAAAGAAGACCUCUGACGAUGGACUUCACGUCAUUCUUGGAUUCAAGUAGAUACAGCUGCGACACCUAGGAAACAAUAAAAGAAAAGUUCAUACACAUGCGUGUUCCGUGGCCAAAGGGCAACAUGGCAUAUGCGUGAUAAUCCGGAUGGGUGUCGUCACCCCUCAUCCAGCGCUCAGGGCUAAACGUCAGAGGGUCGUCAAAGAUUUCAGGGUCACGCCCCAUCACAUACAGGGGGAUGCGAACCAUUGUCUGAAAAAUGACAAAAAGUGAACCACUUAUUACCUCGUUUAUAAGGGUUGAGAAAUGGGCUACAAUUUUUUUUUUGGGAAACUUUUUUCCCCUCAAAAAAGGUGAGAAAAAUGUUAACUCUAAUAGAAAUAGUUUAUGGAUGACAGAUCCAAUGAUUUGGUGAAUGGCAUCGCAAAACCUCUCCAACAAUUAUUUGAUGCUUUGAAUAAAAAACAUAUAGCCCUUCUUA